UUUUUUUUGUUUUGAUUGUAAAAAAUGAAACAUAUGUUAUCCAGUGUUGGUAAACGUUCGUAUAUGUUUUACUUGUUGCAGACUAUUGUGAAUGAUUGCUACAGUAGGGUACGUAGUAGUAAAACGGAUGAAUGAAUUUAUGCGUCCUUUUUGUAUUGAAAUUUAGUUGUAAUGGGGAAUUCUAAUGGAAAUGAAAUAGAUAUAUUUAACUAAAUAAAAUUUUGUUAGAAAGGGAUAUAUGUAUCGUUGUUAAAAGGCAGAUUUUAGAGGGAAAAAAAAAAUAAAGAUGGCUUUAUUGGAAUAGCUAGUUAAUAUAGGUCAAGCGUAGCCAUGUAAAUUUUGUACUUGGUAAGAUUACAAAGCUUCUGGACGUUGAGAAAUAAAGACAUAAAAAAGUGCGCGCAAUAAUAAGUGAAAUCAAAUCGCUAGUUUUUUAUAUAAAAAAAAAAAAAUAAAAAAAUAUACACCAUAUACAUUGGCAAAUAAAAGUAAAGAUUAAAAAUAAUACAAAAGGAAAUUACAUAAUAAAGGGUAGCAAGAGUUUGAGAAUUUCGAGUAUUGGACAAGAAAUAAAGUUAAAGGUUACUGCAACGACAAGGAUAAGGAAAUCUAGAAGUGUUCCUGCAAAAUAGUAUUAUAAGCUUGGAGAACCUUGAGACGGGUUUCUAUCUGGAGCAGGACCAGAGUUAACUAUUUUCGGAAACCUUACUCUUCCUGGGAAGAAUCUCAAAAAGGGUUCUCCAAAAAUUUAAAUCCUCUCCUAAAACAACAGGUAACCAUACUCAAUUAAGAAAAAUAAUAGCCAGAAAGAAAAAUAGUACAAUCCGUUCAAUACUCGACGCUACGUAUUCAAUUGUGAAAUUUCAAUUAUUGCACUUGAUUUUUAGUAUAUUUAACUAUAGAACAGAAGAUAUAUAUCAGAAUUUAGGGUUAAGAUUACUCCGUAUCAUUUAUUAGUUUUAAGUUUAAUUUAUUUAUAAGAUAUAUUCAUAUGUGUUUGUGAUUAGCGUGCCUCGCAAGAAAAAAAAAAAAUCGUCAGGUUGUAGGAAUAUCCAUCCCCAAAACAAAACGAAGUAUAUAUUCGAACUUUAGUUUUUUUUUUAUUUAAUUGUAUUUUCCCUCCCGAAAUAAAGAGCUCUUUAGAACAGGAUCAGGAAGAUUAGAUAUAGUGAACCAUAUCGAUGGUCUGGCAAUAUUGUGCAAAAAAAUAAAUAAACGUUUUAUUUUGGAAAAGGGUCUUUUCCUGUGGCAUGUAGAAACGCCUGAUAUCAUCUAUUGUGAAUAUCGCUAAGAAUUAGUGUAAUAAUACGUUAUUUUGUUAGAUUUGUGUAUAAAUAUAUGUAAUUUUUCUUUAUUGUUGAAGUUUAAUUCUUUUAUUCUAUUAUUAUAAGCCCAAUUUUUAAGGUAGAUAAACAUCUUAGGAAACCUAUAAUAGAUAAAAUAAAUGAAAUUAUGUUCGUUAAAUGAUUUGAAUUAAAAAAAAAAAAAAAAAAAAAAAAAGGUAUGAAGGCUUAAGUUUAUUUGUUUAAGGGGUAGGAAGAGAGAAGGUAAGUGGUGAACAGCGAGCGGUGUUAAGGGGUUGCUUUAGAGGAUGAGAGGAGAUAGUAACCAUGGUUGGGAUGGGCGGCUGGAGAAACAUCUACCUCCUGUUGUGGUCAUGUCUCAAUGUAGUGUAAUCGUGUUAGUUUCUGUAACGUUAGUGAAUUCAUCAUUAAUUGGUACUGCCCUGAGGCUAGGUUGAAGGGAGAGACCACCUCUGAGUGUGUCAUGCGAAAAGUUAGUCGGCCAGGAUUCAACCUAGUGCUGCCAAAG